AUUGAACGCUGGCGGCAUGCCUUACACAUGCAAGUCGAACGGCAGCGCGGGUGCUUGCACCUGGUGGCGAGUGGCGAACGGGUGAGUAAUACAUCGGAACGUACCUUAUCGUGGGGGAUAACGCAGCGAAAGCUGUGCUAAUACCGCAUACGCCCUGAGGGGGAAAGCGGGGGAUCGCAAGACCUCCGGCGAUUAGCGAGGCGGAGGCCUGAUUAGCUUGUUGCUGGGGAAAAGGCCAACCAAGGCGACGAGCAGUAGCUGGUCUGGGAGGACGAUCAGCCACACUGGGACUGGGAAACGGCCCAGACUCCUACGGGAGGCAGCGGUGGGGAAUUUUGGACAAUGGGGGCAACCCUGAUCCAGCAAUGCCGCGUGAGUGAAGAAGGCCUUCGGGUUGUAAAGCUCUUUUGUCAGGGAAGAAACACCGGCUCUAACACAGUCCGGGAAUGACGGUACCUGAAGAAUAAGCACCGGCUAACUACGUGCCAGCCGCCGCCGUAA
rnacentral:rRNA from 1 species